AGAGUUUGAUCCUGGCUCAGGAUGUUCGCUAGCGACAGGCUUAACACAUGCAAGUCGAGGGGCAGCAGGGGCGUAGCAAUACGCCUGCUGGCGACCGGCGCACGGGUGAGUAACACGUAUGAAACCUGCCCGUAGCAGGGGGAUAAGCGGAAGAAAUUCCGUCUAAUACCGCGUAAUAACCGUUUGGGGCAUCCCUUAAGGUUUAAAGGAGCGAUCCGGCUACGGAUGGUCAUGCGUCGCAUUAGCUAGUCGGCGGGGUAACGGCCCACCGAGGCGACGAUGCGUAGGGGUUCUGAGAGGAAGGUCCCCCACACUGGUACUGAGACACGGACCAGACUCCUACGGGAGGCAGCAGUGAGGAAUAUUGGUCAAUGGCCGGAAGGCUGAACCAGCCAAGUCGCGUGAGGGAAGACGGCCCUAUGGGUUGUAAACCUCUUUUGUCGGGGAGCAAAGGCCGCCACGCGUGGCGGAUUGAGAGUACCCGAAGAAAAAGCAUCGGCUAACUCCGUGCCAGCAGCCGCGGUAAUACGGAGGAUGCGAGCGUUAUCCGGAUUUAUUGGGUUUAAAGGGUGCGCAGGCGGGAUGUCAAGUCAGCGGUCAAAUCGAGGGGCUCAACCCCUUUCCGCCGUUGAAACUGGCGUCCUAGAGUGGGCGAGAAGUACGCGGAAUGCGUGGUGUAGCGGUGAAAUGCAUAGAUAUCACGCAGAACUCCGAUUGCGAAGGCAGCGUACCGGCGCCCAACUGACGCUCAUGCACGAAAGCGUGGGUAUCGAACAGGAUUAGAUACCCUGGUAGUCCACGCAGUAAACGAUGAAUACUAACUGUCCGGCCCGAUCGGGGGCUGGGCGGUACAGCGAAAGCGUUAAGUAUUCCACCUGGGGAGUACGCCGGCAACGGUGAAACUCAAAGGAAUUGACGGGGGCCCGCACAAGCGGAGGAACAUGUGGUUUAAUUCGAUGAUACGCGAGGAACCUUACCCGGGCUCAAACGACGGAUGAAUGUUUUUGAAAGGAGGCAGCCCUUCGGGGCAUCCGUCGAGGUGCUGCAUGGUUGUCGUCAGCUCGUGCCGUGAGGUGUCGGCUUAAGUGCCAUAACGAGCGCAACCCCCAUCGCCAGUUACCAGCAAGUGAAGUUGGGGACUCUGGCGAGACUGCCGGCGCAAGCUGUGAGGAAGGCGGGGAUGACGUCAAAUCAGCACGGCCCUUACGUCCGGGGCGACACACGUGUUACAAUGGCAGGUACAGAGAGAUGCCACCUGGCGACAGGGAGCAGAACUCGAAAGCCUGUCUCAGUUCGGAUCGGAGUCUGCAACCCGACUCCGUGAAGCUGGAUUCGCUAGUAAUCGCGCAUCAGCCAUGGCGCGGUGAAUACGUUCCCGGGCCUUGUACUCACCGCCCGUCAAG
rnacentral:rRNA from 1 species